UACGAAGGGUGCAAGCGUUGUUCGGAUUUAUUGGGCGUAAAGCGCAUGUAGGCGGGCGAUCAAGUCAAGUGUGAAAUCUCGAAGCUCAACUUCGGAACUGCGCCUGAAACUGGUUGUCUAGAAUUUUGGAGAGGAAAGGGGAAUUUCUCAUGUAGGGGUAAAAUCCGUAGAGAUGAGAAGGAACAUCAGAGGCGAAGGCGCCUUUCUGGACAAAAAUUGACGCUGAGGUGCGAAAGCGUGGGGAGCAAACAGG
rnacentral:rRNA from 1 species